AGGGUUUGAUCCUGGCUCAGGACGAACGCUGGCGGCGUGCCUAAUACAUGCAAGUAGAACGCUGAAGGAGGAGCUUGCUCUUUCCGGAUGAGUUGCGAACGGGUGAGUAACGCGUAGGUAACCUGCCUGGUAGCGGGGGAUAACUAUUGGAAACGAUAGCUAAUACCGCAUAACAGUAGAUAUCGCAUGAUAUUUGCUUGAAAGGUGCAAUUGCACCACUACCAGAUGGACCUGCGUUGUAUUAGCUAGUUGGUGAGGUAACGGCUCACCAAGGCAACGAUACAUAGCCGACCUGAGAGGGUGAUCGGCCACACUGGGACUGAGACACGGCCCAGACUCCUACGGGAGGCAGCAGUAGGGAAUCUUCGGCAAUGGACGGAAGUCUGACCGAGCAACGCCGCGUGAGUGAAGAAGGUUUUCGGAUCGUAAAGCUCUGUUGUAAGAGAAGAACGAGUGUGAGAGUGGAAAGUUCACACUGUGACGGUAUCUUACCAGAAAGGGACGGCUAACUACGUGCCAGCAGCCGCGGUAAUACGUAGGUCCCGAGCGUUGUCCGGAUUUAUUGGGCGUAAAGCGAGCGCAGGCGGUUAGAUAAGUCUGAAGUUAAAGGCUGUGGCUUAACCAUAGUACGCUUUGGAAACUG
rnacentral:rRNA from 1 species